rnacentral:lncRNA from 1 species
UUCCGGCACUACGGAAAAACUGUGUCGAAGUCCCAACUUUGGAAAAUUAUUUCGGGGGUCAAUCAGCCUCCGAUGGUGAUGCAUGUUACCUUUUUGGAAUCCCUUAUGAGUGUAGAAUGUUAGGUAAAAAUUUCAUCAAAUUUGGAGUCUGGAAAGUGGAUCAAACCCGGGAUGAAGUAACCGGCUGUCAGUCCGGGUUACUGUUCAUCCGGGUGGAAAAUAAGGGAUUUCAUGCUAUAAUAGAGUAUUAAGCCUAGAUCAAGCUAAAAGGGACCUUGUACUCAUGCAAAGGAGUCCUUAAUACAUAUAAAUGGUGAGUUAAUUUAUUAAAAAGAAAAAGAAGAAAGAAAAGAAAAGAUUUAGGGAACGAGGGAGUUGAAUCAAUUAAAGUUCCCUAUAUUAUAAUUGGCACGUAAAUUAUGGCUCUUGAUACAAGACUAAAUGUAUUGUAAAUGCAUGUCAUAGUUGGGCAAGAAGCUAGGGAACAAGAGGAAGAAGUUCCCCACUGCCUGCUGUAGAUUUUUGGAGGCGUAUCAGGGCUGUGCCGGAUUGACAGGUGAGUGGGAGCUUGUACUUUGCACCAUGAGCACAUUCCUUAUUCAUUUUCAUGAAUGUUGCCAAGUGUGAUUUGAUUCCACCUGAGCUUAUUGAUUAAUUGUUGUAGUAGAUUCCUCUAUAAUCUUGAUUCUCUAUGCUUGAUUAUUUUGUACAUGCAUUUGAGGGAACAUUGAGAGGAAUUACGAGGGGUUGAUGAGUAACCAAAUUGAUUCCGAAUUGUGAAAUAACUUCUUUUGUAAAUUGAUUUCAUUUUCUCUAUUUCAAAGACUUGUAGAGCCCUUCUUAUGGUAUAUUGAGUUGCAUUGUACUCCCGUGAUUCCUCACUCCCAAUCCUGAUGUUAGUUAUAAUUGGGUCGUGGCCGAGUGAGUGGUAGUCUUGAUUAUGCUCCUUUUUAGUAGAGUAUUGGGAGGGUGCAUUAUGGCAUUUAUGCAUGGCUUGGCAGUAUCUGCAGGACG